UGAGGAUUGCUUGGCUAUUAGGGCUCUUUUUUUUUUUGGUUCCAUAUGAAUUUUGAAAUAGUUUGCUCUAGUUCUGUGAGGAAUGCCAUUGGUAAUUUAAUAGGGAUAACUUGCAUCUGUAAAUUACUUUGGGCAGUAUAGCCAUUUUAAUGAUGUUAAUUCUUCCUAUCCAUGAGCAUGAAAUGUUUUUCCAUUUGUUUGUGUCUUCUCUGAUUUCUUUGAGCAGUGUUUUGUAAUUCUCCUAGAGAUCUCUUAGAGAUCUUUCACCUCCCUGGUUAGCUGUAUUCCUAGGUAUUUUAUUUUUUCUGUGUGUAGCAAUUAUGAAUGGGAUUAUGUUCUUCAUUUGACUCUCUGCUUUACUGCUAGGAAUUUUUGCACAUUGAUUUUGUAUGCUAAGACUUUGCUAAAGUUUAUCAGCAGAAGGAGCUUUGGGGCUAAGACUAUGGGGUUUUCUAGAUAUAGAAUCAUGUCAUCUGUAAACAGAGACAGUUUGACUUCCUGUCUAUUCCUCUCUUCCCUCCUCUAUUUGGAUGCCCUUCCAGUUUUGCACAUUCAGUGUAAUGUUGGCUGUGGGUUUGCCAUGGCUAGCUCUCAUCAUUUUGGCACUUCCGACUAGAAGUGCGAGAGGGGCCAGUGUUGUUGUUACCUGAAAGGUAAGUGCAGCCCACAAAAAUGCAGUGAAGAAGAAGAUAUAUGCAUAUGUUUAAGUUAAUACAAUUGAGAUACAUUUAGCAGACAGAAUCAAUAGAGUUGAUGAGUGACUGACUGGAUGUGUGGGGAGUUUAUAUCACUCCCAGGUUUUUGACUUGGGCAACCGGGCACUCAAGAAGGAAAAAGAGGAUCCAGGGAGAGGAACUUUUCUGAGGACUGGGGUAGGGCUGAACAGCUGCAUUCGAGACUGGUGGAGGGUGGGCUGGGCAUGGGAUGCACAAAUGGAAAUUCCACUGGGUCUGCAGCUCACACAUAGGCAUGACCAGCAUAGAGAUAGAGAGGCCCCAGUGCUGCUGAGUAACUGUGAUUCCCCAGGUGAUGGCAUCAGCUGAGAAGGGAAGGAAGCCCAUGUGAGGACACUGAAGAAGGAGUGAGCAGACAAUAAGAAGCCCACAGAAGACAGAGAAGGAACAACUAGAGGGAGAAGCCAAGGCAGGCAUGUGUGAUAACAUAUAGGAACUGAGGGAGAGGACAUUUCAAGAUGGAGGGGAUGCCAUACAACAGGACUAUGUGAUGGUUUUUGGCUGUGUCCAUAGGAAGUCACAACAGGCAAGGGAAAGAAACCAGAACCCAGUCAUGGAGUUAAGAAGUGAGUCAGAGAGGAGAUGGGUAGGGACAGUGAGGUAAGGCCUCUUUCUAAGGAAGUUUGGCUGAAGGAUAGACUAGCUGGACACAUGCUGGCUGUGUGGGGUAGAGGGAGGAAUGAUGGAGGGUAGGAGAGCCUUGAGCCUGCGAGAAGAGUCUCCUAGAAUAGAGAAGCUGAGGUUAAAGUUGUGGAAGACAGUGGGGAUAACUGAGUGACAGAUAAUCAGGAGAAGAAAAGGAGAUCCAGAAUCAUGACAGAGAGAUGACCUUUGCCAAGAGCACAGCCAUCUUUCACUGUCACAGAGAGGUAGGACAAAACGAUUGGUGUUCAAGAAUUGGUUUGUAGCACAAUAUUUUAACUAUGUCCUUUAAAAAGUUUCUCCACAGACACUACCCAAAGCAGUCCUUCACUACAGUGGCAGACAGACCUGAAAAUUUUCAUCUGAAGCAGCAGAGUGAACUGCAGAGUCAGAGAUAGAAUCUCACUAUGUUGACCAGGCUGGUCUUGAACUCUUGGCACCCAAGCGAUCCUUUUGCCUGGAAUCCCAAAGUGUCAGAUUUACUGAAGAAUAUUUCAUUGUAAUUACUUUUUAUACUUUAUAGGUCAAGAGCUCUGUUUUAAAGACAAAAUUUAUUGAAUAUACUUUUUCAAACAAAGUUUCAUGUUCUAAUCAUUGUCUGAUUUCAGCAUUAAAUGAAACACAGUAAAGAAAGUUGGGCUGA
ensembl:lncRNA LINC00342 long intergenic non-protein coding RNA 342